rnacentral:misc_RNA from 1 species
UUGUGGAGGAGGACGCCGAAGGUGGGGCUAAUGACUGGGGUGAAGUCGUAACAAGGUAGCCGUACCGGAAGGUGCGGCUGGAUCACCUCCUAACAGGGAGACAACAAAAUGUUUAAUAUUAUUAUUUUGUCACCUUAGGUCGAUCGGUAUCUCACGUUUUUAAUUUAUUAAGAAUUUCAUUUCCUAAGUUUUUCUAGGUCACACCCAUUAUUUUUCCUGGGCCAUUAGCUCAGGUGGUUAGAGCGCACCCCUGAUAAGGGUGAGGUCCCUGGUUCAAGUCCAGGAUGGCCCAUAUCUCUAUGUUGGGGGUAUAGCUCAGUUGGUAGAGCGCCUGCUUUGCAAGCAGGAUGUCAGCGGUUCGAGUCCGCUUACCUCCACUGAUCACCACCUCUUCCAUAAUUGGUAGAAAGGAAAUUUUUUGAGUUGUGAUCAAAUUCUGAAAGAAUCUAGCUUCCUAAUGAAAUCAUUAAGAUGCUGGACUCAUUGAAUUAAUUUCAUUGUUUUCAGAGAACCUUGACAACUGCAUAGAUUAUUUUUAAAGACAAUAAGCAUCUUUAAUGAUGCAGAUUUAUUAUUUGUGCAAAUGCAUUAAUAACAAUUCUAUUAAGCUGAUGCUUCAAUAUUUGAAGUUAUUGGUCAAGCUACAA